UACGAAGGGGCUAGCGUUGUUCGGAAUUAUGUACGUGGGCGUAAAGCGUGCGCAGGCGGCUGCUCAAAGUCAGGGGUGAAAGCCCAGAGCUCAACUCUGGAAUUGCCUUUGAGACUGAGUGGCUUGAGUACGAGAGAGGUGAGUGGAAUUCCCAGUGUAGAGGUGAAAUUCGUAGAUAUUGGGAAGAACACCGGUGGCGAAGGCGGCUCAC
rnacentral:rRNA from 1 species